AUUGAACGCUGGCGGGAGGCCUAACACAUGCAAGUCGAGCGGAGUGGCGGACGGGUGAGUAAUGUCUCGGAACGUGCCCGGUAGUGGGGGAUAACUUCCGGAAAGGGUAGCUAAUACCGCAUACUAUUAGAUGAGCCUCGGUCGGAUUAGCUAGUUGGUGGGGUAAAGGCCUACCAAGGCGACGAUCCGUAACUGGUCUGAGAGGAGGAUCAGUCACACUGGAACUGAGACACGGUCCAGACUCCUACGGGAGGCAGCAGUGGGGAAUAUUGGACAAUGGGCGAAAGCCUGAUCCAGCCAUGCCGCGUGUGUGAAGAAGGUCUUCGGAUUGUAAAGCACUUUAAGUUGGGAGGCGUUACCAACAGAAUAAGCACCGGCUAACUUCGUGCCAGCAGCCGCGGUAAUAC
rnacentral:rRNA from 1 species